GGAAAACCCAUCCCGCCAUGCCCCCUUAGAAUGGAGUUCCAAAUAUUGCAGUUUCCCAGACCAUCGUAAAAUUAUGCAGUCCUCCUUGAUUUUAUCUGCUUCAUAUUCCAACAUUGGAGGAUAUUUUUCAAAAGUGAUAAAAUUGAUUUCCUCAAUCAGACCAUUGGAGUAUUUGGAUUUAUCGCGAUAAUUCUUUGGAGAGAGCUUUGAUUGGGUGAAGUGGCGAUUCAGGAGAAAAUCGUAUGAAUGGUAUUCACAAUACAAAAUUCAGCUGCACGCUCUACUGAUAGGGUAGAAUGAACAUAGGCGCUUUUUAUCGCAGAGUAUUUUCACUGCUUAUGUUGACUAAGUAUUGCACUACUUAUGAAAACUAGCUUAAGUAAUACUCACUGCCGUCCUCGUUAAGUCAUAUUCAAUAGAGAUUCUAGAUUAAUACUAUUUACAAUUCGGUAAACACCGUGCAAGCCCGCUCUCUGCUGAUAUUAGCCAUACCACUAAGACUCCUCAUCCUACACCAUAGUGCCAUGGCUCUCUCGGAUCAAAGAAUAACAAGAUAGAAAAGGAGAUGACACAACUUAGAAUUUUGAUCAAAACUAAAAAGAAGCAGUUUUAAAAACUCGUGUAUUUCAAAAGAGAUACUAUUCUUAUUUUUAUAUUUUAUUCAAAGUGCAUGCCAAUGAGCAUGGUGUACUGGUAAAUAUAUAAAAAAUAAUCUAGG
rnacentral:sRNA from 1 species